CAUCAAUGUUCAUAUUGCAGGCUCGAGUUCAACUGAUACUCAGUAAUCCACUGUUAGAGCCCAAUAUUGAUGUAAUCUCGUGUAUCAAUUCAACAUUAUUAAUCAUGUCAGCGCAACUAUGAGUAUUGUGUCCACAAAGCAGCGCUGGGUGGAAAAAUAUUUAAGCGAUCUGAUUACAGUCUCGCAAUUGUUCCGGUAGUUUAGCAGACGUUUAAACUUCCUUAUUCAAACGGACAAGCUGCGUAAGGAUACAUGGCAAAUGUAGCUGAUCAUAUAGAUGUCACCAUGAUUCCUAGCAAAUAGAUGGGUGCAAAUACAAAACUAAGACAUGUUGUCAGUUGCUGAACAAAUUCCGGUGAAAACAUGCAAGUUCUAGGAAAAGGUUUGUAGCUGAGAAGGAAAGUAAAAUGACCCCAUAUGAAGGGUAAAUUUAUAAGAAGGGCAGACAGAGUUCUUGAUUGUGCACAGUGUCUAAAUUCCCUCGCUCGAUAUUGUGAUGGAGUGGGGGUGCAAAUUAGCCCAAAUGAUAUAAAAUCAAAGCGAGAAAGGGCACCUUCAUACUCAGAGUAUGUUUGUACACCAACACCAGUAUGUAUAGAUUACAUGUAAUUUAGGGUCCUAAUUUAUUGACUAUACCACCAAUAUGAAAUAUAAGGGAAAUAUGAUUUUUCAUUGGUCUGUCAUAAUCUGACUUUACUGUAUACCCCCUACCCACAUGUAUUAGAACCAGAAACAAACUGUCCCCUGCCACCAAAGCAUCUUAAAACACUUUAGACAUUUUAUCCGCCUAUUCAUUGAACGCGGAAAACAUAAUGUAAAUAAAUUGAAUUUAUGUAAACAGUGCAUUGUGACGUUAUAUUCAGCGUCAGUGUUUAGCAAAUUCACAACAGAGCGGGUAAUACAAUGGAGAUGACUUCUGUCCCCGACAGAUACUACAGGCAAUUAUAAGCGAUGACUUCCAUACCCCGACAGAUACUACAGGCAAUUAUAAGCGAUGACUUCCAUACCCCGACAGAUACAACAAACAAUAAAAGAUGGACGACGAAUCCACAUUGCACGUCUUCGUAACAUCUCCGUCUGUUUUCUUUAUUAAACUACACGUGAACGUAUGUUCAUGUCUUUAUCUGUAAACACUUUCUUCCUUCCUCUUUUUCUUUUCUACCUGUUCUGUUUCUUAAAACUUUUUUUUGAUAAUGCUACGUAUUGUAGAUCUAGGUAAUCCAAAUAUUCCCUCCAAUUCUGAUGUGUUUCCUUUCUCUCUCUACGCGUUUACAAUCAUAUUUCGGACGUCAACACUCAUUUCUUUUCCUUUCCGACCCAUGUUGUUUCGUACAAUAUAGCAGACGACAGAAUUAUUGUGUAAACGUCUUUCCGUCAACACUUUCUUUGUGACACGGUAACUCAAACAGUUUUCAUUGUACAGUUUUCAAAUUUUGUACAGAAAUAAUUUACAAUAAGAGGAAGACGCCUAGAAAUUUUGGGGUCAUGUCACUUUGUAUGUCAUCAUCUUUCUUAUUAUGCCACUGUUUAAGGGAGAUAAUUCAAUUUGAAUUAAGAUAUAUUGUAAUU